UGUGAUAACUUCAGGUUUCUGCAAAUUUGAUGUUACGAAAUCGAGACAUCGCGCAAUGGUGGGUGUAAAGUAUUGGACAGGUAGGGUAUCAGAGAAGGGUGAAGGGGUUAUAGAGGAAAAACAAGCCGUCUACACUCAAAAAAAUAGGGGUUCAACAAGGUUUAUUCUAAGAUCCCCAUAGGAGUGGGGUUCAUCGAGGAACAUCUAGUUCUUGGAGGUUCUUGCAGGAACCUAACUGCCCAACUGAAAUGUUUUUAUUUGGAUUUGAGAAGACAGCCGGUGCAGGCACUUAAAUUGAGGAGAUCUUUACAUUUUUCAGUUAAGGUAUACUGACGAGGAGGCACACAAAGGACUCAGUCACAGCAGCCAUCUUCCUCCUCCCUGACCUCUUCAAUGAAGAUCCCAGAGGUAUCUACAUUAUGGAUGAGACUUCACCCACCCUACACCUCUGAUGAAUAUAACAGGAAACCUGUUUGAUCACCAUGCACUGCAAAACCAUUCUGGCUAUGGAUAUCCUACAGAGGGCAUCAACACGCCAGUGGAUAUACCUAUUGGACUUGGGGCUGGGAGUGUACCUCAUAACUUUAUUUUUGUAUUCUGCUUUGCCACUAAAAUCAUAUUAUAAACUGGGUGGUUCGAGGCCUUAA